rnacentral:lncRNA from 1 species
GCCAGAGAGGCUAGAACGAAGCAAGCAGAGGAAGGUGGGAUAAGCUGGCUUGCUGAGUUUUCUAACUUUCAUCUUUUUCCCAUGCUGGAUGCUUCCUGCCGUUGGACAUCAGACUCCAGGUUCUUCGGGGACUCUUGGACUUACACCAGCGUUUUGCCGGGGGCUCUGUCGGCUGCACUGUCAGUUUCCCUACUUUUGAGACUUUUGGACUCGGACUGAGCCACUACUGGCUUCCUUCUUUCUCAGCUUGGAGACAGCCUAUCAUGGACUUCGCAUUGUGAUCGUAUGGUGCUGUAAUGGAAAUCCUUUAUUUGUGACUCUUGUGGCCUUGUGUGAGAGUUUUUUCCUAAGAUGGACUACAGAGAACCAGAGAGAGUUUUAAAUGUCUUAUUACCAGAACUUAAAGACCUUUAAGCAGAUGCGACACUGAUUCAGGAGCAGUUUCUAAAAGGACUCUUCUUCACCAGAUCACUAACAGAAGGAUCAAAAAGGAGAAAGUAUAAGGAUCAAAAGGGAGAAAAUAUAA